rnacentral:rRNA from 1 species
AUUGAACGCUGGCGGCAGGCCUAACACAUGCAAGUCGAACGGUAACAGGAAACAGCUUGCUGUUUCGCUGACGAGUGGCGGACGGGUGAGUAAUGUCUGGGAAACUGCCUGAUGGAGGGGGAUAACUACUGGAAACGGUAGCUAAUACCGCAUAACGUCGCAAGACCAAAGAGGGGGACCUUCGGGCCUCUUGCCAUCGGAUGUGCCCAGAUGGGAUUAGCUAGUAGGUGGGGUAACGGCUCACCUAGGCGACGAUCCCUAGCUGGUCUGAGAGGAUGACCAGCCACACUGGAACUGAGACACGGUCCAGACUCCUACGGGAGGCAGCAGUGGGGAAUAUUGCACAAUGGGCGCAAGCCUGAUGCAGCCAUGCCGCGUGUAUGAAGAAGGCCUUCGGGUUGUAAAGUACUUUCAGCGGGGAGGA